rnacentral:rRNA from 1 species
GACGAACGCUGGCGGCGUGCUUAACACAUGCAAGUCGAACGGAAAGGCCCUGCUUUUGUGGGGUGCUCGAGUGGCGAACGGGUGAGUAACACGUGAGUAACCUGCCCUUGACUUUGGGAUAACUUCAGGAAACUGGGGCUAAUACCGGAUAGGAGCUCCUGCUGCCUGGUGGGGGGUGGAAAGUUUCGGCGGUUGGGGAUGGACUCGCGGCUUAUCAGCUUGUUGGUGGGGUAGGGGCUUACCAAGGCUUUGACGGGUAGCCGGCCUGAGAGGGUGACCGGCCACAGUGGGACUGGGAUACGGCCCAGACUCCUACGGGAGGCAGCAGUGGGGAAUAUUGCACAAUGGGCGGAAGCCUGAUGCAGCAACGCCGCGUGCGGGAUGACGGCCUUCGGGUUGUAAACCGCUUUCGCCUGUGACGAAGCGUGAGUGACGGUAAUGGGUAAAGAAGCACCGGCUAACUACGG